rnacentral:rRNA from 1 species
CCUACGGGAGGCAGCAGUGGGGAAUAUUGCACAAUGGGGGAAACCCUGAUGCAGCGACGCCGCGUGAGUGAAGGAGUAUUUCGGUAUGUAAAGCUCUAUCAGCAGGAACGAGACAAGACGGUACCUGACUAAGAAGCCCCGGCUAACUACGUGCCAGCAGCCGCGGGAAUACGUAGGGGGCAAGCGUUAUCCGGAAUCACUGGGUGUAAAGGGAGCGUAGACGGCUGAGCAAGCCUGAAGUGAAAGGCGGGGGCCCAACCCCCGGACUGCUUUGGGAACUGUACGGCUGGAGUGCAGGAGGGGUAAGUGGAAUUCCUAGUGUAGCGGUGAAAUGCGUAGAUAUUAGGAGGAACACCAGUGGCGAAGGCGGCUUACUGGACUGUAACUGACGUUGAGGCUCGAAAGCGUGGGGAGCAAACAGGAUUAGAUACCCUAGUAGUC